rnacentral:rRNA from 1 species
GGAUGCCUAGGCUCUCAGAGGCGAUGAAGGACGUGAUAAGCUGCGAAAAGUUACGGGAAGGGGCACAUACCUUAUAAUCCGUAAAUAUCCGAAUGGGGCAACCCGAUAUAUUGAAGAUAUAUCAUGGCGUAAGCCAGGCAAACCCGGUGAACUGAAACAUCUAAGUAACCGGAGGAAGAGAAAACAAAAGUGAUUCCGUUAGUAGUGGCGAGCGAACGCGGAUUAGCCCAAACC